UUUUUCCACAGUUCCUGCUUUCUCUUCAUAUGCUGCAGUUUAAAGGUUUCUCUUUAGACAGUUAGAAGGUUUUUUCAGAAGCAGGGUCUCAGAGUGUCGGUGCUGGAUCUGAGGAUGGGAAACACUUUGCUCUGUGUGCUGGGGAUUUUCUAUUCUCUGCCAUUGAGACCUUCAUAUGUGACAUGAGGGAAGGAAAAGACACUGACUGGUAUUACAGAAUGAACAAGGAUGGUCAAGAAUAUAUCUCCUACUACACAAAUAAGGACUAUACAUUACAAGCUCUAGUUAAAGGCCACAGCGGUGAAUACCAGUGCUUUGGUCAUCACAAGGUCUCAACUAAUUUUAUAAAAGAAAGUAAUAAAGUCUCUCUAACUGUAUCAGAUGAAGAAAUUAUCCUGGUGAGCCCUGUCCAUCCUGUGACGGAGGGAGAUUCUGUUACUCUUGGCUGCAAAUUGAGGGCAGAAAAAAUGCUUUCCAAUGUCACAUUCUACAAAAAUCAUCAAAUAAUGACAGAGAGGAGCUGAAUAUCUCUGCAGUCUCAAAGUCAGACGAAGGUUUCUACAAGUGUGAAUACUCAGGAAAUGUGUCACCACAGAGUUGGAUGUCAGUAAAAUCAUCCAGCUCUCCAAUUCCUCUGCUGCUGAUUGUUGGGCUGGUUAUUUGUAUCUUCCUGUUUGUUCUCCUGUCAUUGCUGCUGCUGUGUUGGUACAAAAAAAGGACCUUUUCUUGUUUAUUCUAUAUAAAUACCUCUCUGCAUAUUAAAAUCACUGAGGAAUUCUGAUGUCAAGAUAUGGAUCAGUGAUUCAGUUUUCAAAACAAAAUCAUGUAACGUAAUAAUUACGUCUUUCACAGAUUCAUGUUGUCACAGGUUGGUACAACACUCUCUUAUCUCAUCUUCAAGUUAACGUAACGUAACAAACAUUUUAACACAUUAGUACUUAAAUAACAUGGUUUACUAUAUAUUUCAGGCUCAUCCAGUCUCAGAGAACCAAUCAAAGCUCUGCUACAGUCCAAAAUGUCAACCAAGAUGAGCAGCAAGUAUACUCCUCUCUUCUCCAUGGUGAUGUUUGUGUCUAUGAAACAAUCAGUGGCUCUGGAAACACUGGAAGUGGUGAACGGACAAAUGUAUACACAAAUGCCACAUCUGAGAUUCAGCUCAAAGCUCUUGUAAAGAGAAGUUGAGAAAAUGAGAAAAGCAGGGACAACAACAUGAAAAACAACAUAUUUAAACAGUGUUGACAGUAUUUAUAAAACUGAUGCCAUCCAAACAUCAUCAGAUCAUGUGAAAGACUUUCAACUGUAAUAUGUAUAAUAUAGAUUUAAUUUCCUGUUGAUUUCUGCUGAAUUUGCCUUUUUAUUU